AGCAGCCGCGGUAAUUCCAGCUCCAAUAGCGUAUAUUAAAGUUGUUGCAGUUAAAAAGCUCGUAGUUGAAUUUCGGGAUUGGCGUAUCGGUCGUGCCUUACGGGGUAUGAACUGGUGCAGUCAAUUUCUCACCUUCUGGAGAACCGCGAUGUCCUUAAUUGGGUGCCGCGGGGAACCAGGACCUUUACUUUGAAAAAUUAGAGUGUUUAAAGCAGGCAUUUUUGCUUGAAUACAUUAGCAUGGAAUAAUAAAAUAGGACGGCAUGGUUCUAUUUUGUUGGUUUCUAGGACCACCGUAAUGAUUAAUAGGGAUAGUUGGGGGCAUUAGUAUUCAAUUGUCAGAGGUGAAAUUCUUGGAUUUAUUGAAGCUAACUACUGCGAAAGCAUUUGCCAAGGAUGUUUUCAUUAAUCAAGAACGAAAGUUAGGGGAUCGAAGACGAUCAGAUACCGU
rnacentral:rRNA from 1 species